UACCGGGUAGCGGGGGAUAACUGAUCGAAAGAUCAGCUAAUACCGCAUACGUCUUGAGAGGGAAAGCAGGGGACCUUCGGGCCUUGCGCUAUCCGAGCGGCCGAUAUCUGAUUAGCUGGUUGGCGGGGUAAAGGCCCACCAAGGCGACGAUCAGUAGCGGGUCUGAGAGGAUGAUCCGCCACACUGGGACUGAGACACGGCCCAGACUCCUACGGGAGGCAGCAGUGGGGAAUUUUGGACAAUGGGCGCAAGCCUGAUCCAGCCAUGCCGCGUGUCUGAAGAAGGCCUUCGGGUUGUAAAGGACUUUUGUCAGGGAAGAAAAGGCCGUUGCCAAUAUCGGCGGCCGAUGACGGUACCUGAAGAAUAAGCACCGGCUAACUACGUGCCAGCAGCCGCGGUAAUACGUAGGGUGCGAGCGUUAAUCGGAAUUACUGGGCGUAAAGCGGGCGCAGACGGUUACUUAAGCAGGAUGUGAAAUCCCCGGGCUCAACCCGGGAACUGCGUUCUGAACUGGGUGACUCGAGUGUGUCAGAGGGAGGUGGAAUUCCACGUGUAGCAGUGAAAUGCGUAGAGAUGUGGAGGAAUACCGAUGGCGAAGGCAGCCUCCUGGGAUAACACUGACGUUCAUGUCCGAAAGCGUGGGUAGCAAACAGGAUUAGAUACCCUGGUAGUCCACGCCCUAAACGAUGUCAAUUAGCUGUUGGGCAACUUGAUUGCUUGGUAGCGUAGCUAACGCGUGAAAUUGACCGCCUGGGGAGUACGGUCGCAAGAUUAAAACUCAAAGGAAUUGACGGGGACCCGCACAAGCGGUGGAUGAUGUGGAUUAAUUCGAUGCAACGCGAAGAACCUUACCUGGUUUUGACAUGUGCGGAAUCCUCCGGAGACGGAGGAGUGCCUUCGGGAGCCGUAACACAGGUGCUGCAUGGCUGUCGUCAGCUCGUGUCGUGAGAUGUUGGGUUAAGUCCCGCAACGAGCGCAACCCUUGUCAUUAGUUGCCAUCAUUCGGUUGGGCACUCUAAUGAGACUGCCGGUGACAAGCCGGAGGAAGGUGGGGAUGACGUCAAGUCCUCAUGGCCCUUAUGACCAGGGCUUCACACGUCAUACAAUGGUCGGUACAGAGGGUAGCCAAGCCGCGAGGCGGAGCCAAUCUCACAAAACCGAUCGUAGUCCGGAUUGCACUCUGCAACUCGAGUGCAUGAAGUCGGAAUCGCUAGUAAUCGCAGGUCAGCAUACUGCGGUGAAUACGUUCCCGGGUCUUGUACACACCGCCCGUCACACCAUGGGAGUGGGGGAUACCAGAAGUAGGUAGGGUAACCGCAAGG
rnacentral:rRNA from 1 species